rnacentral:rRNA from 1 species
AGCAGCCGCGGUAAUUCCAGCUCCAAUAGCGUAUAUUAAAGUUGUUGCAGUUAAAGCUCGUAGUUGAAUUUCGAGACCGGUUUACUGGUCGUGCUUUUGUACGUACUGGUAUUAUUGGUUUCUCCUUUCUGACGAAUCAUAAUGCCAUUAAUUUGGUGUUUUGGGGAAUCAGGACUGUUACUUUGAAAAAUUAGAGUGUUUAAAGCAGGCUCACGCUUGAAUACAUUAGCAUGGAAUAACGAAAUAGGACGUUUGAUUUUAUUUGUUGGUUUCUAGGAUCGACGUAAUGAUUAAUAGGGAUAGUUGGGGGCAUUAGUAUUCAAUUGUCAGAGGUGAAAUUCUUGGAUUUAUUGAAGACUAACUACUGCGAAAGCAUUUGCCAAGGAUGUUUUCAUUAAUCAAGAACGAAAGUUAGGGGAUCGAAGACGAUCAGAUACCGUCGUAGUCUUAACCAUAAACUAUGCCGACUAGGGAUCGGAUGAUGUUAAUUUUUUAAUGACUCA